AUUGAACGCUGGCGGCAGGCUUAACACAUGCAAGUCGAACGAGUGGCGUACGGGUGAGUAAUGCUUGGGAAUACAGCUUAUGGAGGGGGAUCACUCCGGGGAACUUUAGCUAAUACAGAGUACAAUAGGAUGAGCCCAAGUGGGAUUAGGUAGUUGGUGAGGUAAAGCCUCACCAAGACGACGACCAUUAGCUGGUCUAAGAAGAUGACCAGCCACAAUGGGACGGAGAAACGGCCCAGACUCCAACGUGACGCAACAGUGGGGAAUAUUGGGCAAUGGAUGCAACCUGACGCAGCCAUGCCGCGUAAAUGAAGAAGGCCUUCGGGUUGUAAAGUUCUUUCGGUAGCGAGGCGUUAACUACAGAAGAAGCACCGACUAACUCCGUGCCAGCAGCCGCGGUAAUAC
rnacentral:rRNA from 1 species